rnacentral:rRNA from 1 species
UACAGAGGUGGCAAGCGUUGUUCGGAAUUACUGGGCGUAAAGGGCGCGUAGGCGGUUUCGUAAGUCCUGUGUGAAAUCCCCCGGCUCAACUGGGGAACUGCACAGGAAACUGCGAGGCUUGAGUUCGGGAGAGGGAAGCGGAAUUCCGGGUGUAGCGGUGAAAUGCGUAGAUAUCCGGAGGAACACCGGUGGCGAAGGCGGCUUCCUGGACCGACACUGACGCUGAGGCGCGAAAGCGUGGGGAGCAAACAGG